UGAGGAGUAGUUCAUCUGGACUGCAUGGCAUCCAAGUACAAUAGGCCGUCAGUGGGACAUCAUAGAGGGUGACAAUCCCGUCCUUGAUGNCAAUGUACAAGUCCGUUAUGAUGGCUAUCUCAGAGAGUCGAGCAGUUUGGGAUUUGCUGCUUAAACAUGGGAGGUAGAUUCCUUCUAAGGCUAAAUACAGGCGAGAGACCGAUAGAGAACAAGUACCGCAAGGGAAAGAUGAAAUAGAACUCUGUGAAGGGAGUCAAAAGGCGUGAAAUUGUUGCGAGAGAAGCGAUUCAAGUCAGCGUAGCUAGGCCCAUCAAGCUUUAUCGCUUUGGACUAGCUUUGCCAGCGGUCUUGUCCCUAGAGACUUGACUUUGUAUGCCCAGCCUGGUCUAUACAGGUAGCCCCUUCACGGGGGCCAGCGGCAUGGCUGGUGGAAUGGCUUGCAAUCGACCCGUCUUGAAACACGGACCAAGGAGUCUAACAUGUAUGCGAGUAUAAGGGUGGCAAACCCGUAUGCGCAAUGAAAGUGACUUUCGUUGAUUGAGAAUGGCCUGACGACCAGACAAGCAAUAUAUGUCCCUCGAACGGCCAUUGCCCAAGUUCCGUGGUAGACCCCACGAACAUGGAGUUGGAGCAUACAUGCUAGGACCCGAAAGAUGGUGAACUAUGCCUGGACAAAGCGAAGCCAAAGGAAACUCUGGUGGAGGCUUGUAGCGAUUCUGACGUGCAAAUCGAUCGUCUGAUCUGGGUAUAGGGGCGAAAGACUAAUCGAACCAUCUCAUAGCUGGUUCCUGCCGAU
rnacentral:rRNA from 1 species